CCACAACUUAUCAAAGAGACUAUCUAAAUCUAAUGCGAAUUCCAGGGGCUGUGUACCUCUCAAACACUGCAUCCAAGUCACCUGGAUCUUCCCGUGUCAUUCCCCUCCCAUCAUAUCUCGUCUGGUCGCCCCGACCUCUGUCUUCUUUUCUAGCAAUGCACCGUGCUCCAACACCGCCAAGUGAAAAUCCACCUCACACAGUCGACAAAUACAUAAUAUGAAGAAUACUAUAAAUCUAGUACUACAUUAAGGUUGUGAGGUCAAUUCAACAUUUGGAAAAAAAUAAAUAUGGAAAACUGUACUUAAUUAGGUCUCUGUUGUUGGAGUUGCAAGAUCUAUUUCCAUCACCGGUGACAUGGAAUUGUUGGAGUUUAAAUAAAAUUACUCAUCACAAAAUAAUGUUUGAACAACAAUUAUUUUGAUUACUAAUAGUUACACAAAAUAUAGUUUUUGUGCAACAUUGCAAAAUAAAUGGAUGUUUAGGAAUUAUAAAUGGAAACAAAAAAACAUCCAAACUUAGAAAUACCUGCAAAUGAGAUUAUAAGUUGGCUAGAAAACAUCAGCCUUACAUCAGUUCAAGUGCCCAAGCAAGAAGUAAAUACAAGAGGAGAAGCAUAUAUCGGUCCAAUACCUUCUACACAAGAAAGAACUUAACUUUACAAAUCUCCUCGUUCAGGCAUACAUAUGCUUCCCCCGAAAAAAUAAAGGCAUACAUGGGUUAAAUCAGGGUGCCUAAAUGAAGUAAAUCUUCAAUUGCUAGUCUUCAAUCAUCUCCGGUAAUGUUUUUUGCAUUUUGAAAAUAUAUAAAUGUUCAAGAAAUCAAAUUAAUUGUUUAAGGAGAAAGUAGCUUGUCACAAAAAGUAACACAAACUACACAAAGCUAUCUAAAAAAUGGAUUCCCAACUUUUCAUAAUAUUGUUUCAAUCCCAUGCCUAUUUAAUGCAAUGUUAGCGGUUUGCACAUUAGGUUGGGUUUCUUCCAACAUGCUAUCUAUGACCAUGAGGUGAUUUAUUAAUUCAAAGAAUUUGUUCAAGAGUGAAUUUACAAUGUAGCUCAAUGAACAAUAUGGAACAUAGUAAGGCAAUGAGAAACAACAAGAACCAUGUCUUACUAUGCUUGAGCUGCAUAUGCAUACCUUAAAAAGGAGUGCUGUUAUUGUAGAGCUUAAUCUCUAAUCAAGCUUUCUCAUUAGUGCAAGCCAUAACAAUAUUUUUAGAAAGUUUGCCCAAGUAAGACUUAAUUAUUUCACCUAGUAACAAGGUAAUGCUUUUCUGCAACCAGUUGCAUUCUGUGAGAAUGUUGAUACAUCACAUUCGCAAAAAUUGUCAGUGUCACUAUCCAAUGUGAAACCCAUCAACUUAAACCAACAUUAAGAGUAGCAAACGUUUUGCGCCCAGUAUGGAGGAGUUUUGAAAACAAAAGAUAUACCAAAAAGGGUGUCGUCGACCAAUAAUUUCAGAAAAUAGCUGCGGUUGAUUAUAUAAAAUAAAUAGAGGAAACAUCAUAUUACCAGGACAAGAGGUCACAUGCAGGUUACCAGCAAUCUCAGCAUCAGUGUGGUAGAUGAAGCUUUGUUCCAAAAAGGCUCUUGGACACAACCUAUAGCCUGAAAGGGCUCCAGGAUCAUAUACUGCAAAAAUA
rnacentral:rRNA from 1 species